rnacentral:rRNA from 1 species
AUUGAACGCUGGCGGCAGGCCUAACACAUGCAAGUCGAGCGAGCGGCGGACGGGUGAGUAAGGUAUGGGGAUCUGCCUGAUGGCGGGGGAUAACUACUGGAAACGGUAGAUAAUACCGCAUACCAUCAGUUGAACCCUUGUGGGAUUAGCUAGUAGGUGAGGUAACGGCUCACCUAGGCGACGAGCCCUAGCUGGUCUGAGAGGGUGAUCAGCCACACUGGGACUGAGACACGGCCCAGACUCCUACGGGAGGCAGCAGUGGGGAAUAUUGCACAAUGGGCGCAAGCCUGAUACAGCCAUGCCGCGUGUAUGAAGAAGGCCUUCGGGUUGUAAAGUACUUUCAGUCGGGAGGCGUUACCUACAGAAGAAGCACCGGCUAACUACGUGCCAGCAGCCGCGGUAAUAC